rnacentral:tRNA from 1 species
UAGCCUAGUGAUUAGAGCUAUGGAUUGCCAAUCCGGAGACGGCGGGUUCGACUCCCGU